UACGGAGGGUGCAAGCGUUGUUCGGAUUUACUGGGCGUAAAGGGCGCGUAGGCGGCGUGGUAAGUCAGCUGUGAAAUCUCCGAGCUUAACUCGGAACGGUCAGCUGAUACUGCUGUGCUAGAGUACAGAAAGGGCAAUCGGAAUUCUUGGUGUAGCGGUGAAAUGCGCAGAUAUGAGGAGGAACACCAAUUGCGAAGGCAGCUCGCUGGGACGUGACUGACGCUGAGACGCGAAAGCGUGGGGAGCAAACAGG
rnacentral:rRNA from 1 species